GACGAACGCUGGCGGCGUGCUUAACACAUGCAAGUCGAACGGAAAGGCCCUGCUUUUGUGGGGUGCUCGAGUGGCGAACGGGUGAGUAACACGUGAGUAACCUGCCCUUGACUUUGGGAUAACUUCAGGAAACUGGGGCUAAUACCGGAUAGGAGCUCCUGCUGCAUGGUGGGGGUUGGAAAGUUUCGGCGGUUGGGGAUGGACUCGCGGCUUAUCAGCUUGUUGGUGGGGUAGUGGCUUACCAAGGCUUUGACGGGUAGCCGGCCUGAGAGGGUGACCGGCCACAUUGGGAGUGAGAUACGGCCCAGACUGCUACGGGAGGAAGCAGUGGGGAAUAUUGCACAAUGGGCGGAAGCCUGAUGCAGCAACGCCGCGUGCGGGAUGACGGCCUACGGGUUGUAAACCGCUUUCGCCUGUGACGAAGCGUGAGUGACGGUAAUGGGUAAAGAAGCACCGGCUAACUACGUG
rnacentral:rRNA from 1 species